rnacentral:rRNA from 1 species
GACGAACGCUGGCGGCGUGCCUAAUACAUGCAAGUCGAACGCAAAGGCCCUGCGCUUGCUGGUCUCUCGUGAGUCGAACACGUGAGUGUAACGCGUGUAUCACGUCCCUGACUUCGGGAUAUCACUAGGAAACUGGGGAUAUAAUCCCACAGGAGCUUCUGCUGCACGUUGGGGGUUGGAGAGAUUCGGCGUUUGGGGACGGACUCGCGGCCUAUCAGCUUGUUGGUGGGGUAGUGGCUUACCAAGGCUUUGACGGGUAGCCGGCCUGAGAGGGUGACCGGGCACAUUGGGACUGAGAUAGGGCCCAGACUGCUACGGGAGGCAGCAGUGGGAAAUAUUGCGCAAUGGGCGGAAGCCUGAUGCAGCAACGCCGCGUGCGGGAUGACUGCCUUCGGGUUGUAAACCGCUUUCGCCUGUAAAGAACAGUGAGUGACGGUAAUGUAUAAGAAAGCAACGGCUAACUACGUG